rnacentral:rRNA from 1 species
GAUGAACGCUAGCGGCAGGCCUAACACAUGCAAGUCGAGGGAGGAGCCUUCGGGCUUCGACCGGCGUACGGGUGCGUAACGCGUAUACAAUCUGCCUUUCACAUAGGGAUAGCCCGAAGAAAUUUGGAUUAAUACCUAAUAGUAUAUAGAUGUGGCAUCACAUUUAUAUUAAAGCUGAGGCGGUGAAAGAUGAGUAUGCGUUCUAUUAGCUAGUUGGAGAGGUAACGGCUCCCCAAGGCUACGAUAGAUAGGGGUUCUGAGAGGGAUAUCCCCCACACUGGUACUGAGAUACGGACCAGACUCCUACGGGAGGCAGCAGUGAGGAAUAUUGGACAAUGGUCGGAAGACUGAUCCAGCCAUGCCGCGUGCAGGAAGACGGCCUUAUGGGUUGUAAACUGCUUUUGCAGGGGAAGAAUAAGGACUACGAGUAGUUUGAUGACGGUACUCUGCGAAUAAGCAUCGGCUGC